rnacentral:rRNA from 1 species
AUUGAACGCUGGCGGCAGGCCUAACACAUGCAAGUCGAACGGUAACAGGGAUCAGCUUGCUGAUUCGCUGACGAGUGGCGGACGGGUGAGUAAUGUCUUGGAAACUUCCUGAUGGAGGGGGAUAACUACUGGAAACGGUAGCUAAUACCGCAUAACGUCGCAAGACCAAAGAGGGGGACCUUCGGGCCUCUUGCCAUCGGAUGUGCCCAGAUGGGAUUAGCUAGUAGGUGGGGUAACGGCUCACCUAGGCGACGAUCCCUAGCUGGUCUGAGAGGAUGACCAGCCACACUGGAACUGAGACACGGUCCAGACUCCUACGGGAGGCAGCAGUGGGGAAUAUUGCACAAUGGGCGCAAGCCUGAUGCAGCCAUGCCGCGUGUAUGAAGAAGGCCUUCGGGUUGUAAAGUACUUUCAGCGGGGAGGAAGGGAGUAAAGUUAAUACCUUUGCUCAUUGACGUUACCCGCAGAAGAAGCACCGGCUAACUCCGUG